rnacentral:lncRNA from 10 species
GAGAUGGAGUCUUGCCCAGGCUGGUCUCAAAUUCCAGAUCUCAAAUGAUCCUCCCUUUGGCCUCCCAAAGUGCUGGGAUUACAGGUUUCUACUGAGAAAUUUGCUGAUAGCUUUAUGGAAAUUUCCUUAUAUGUGGUAGAAAAAAUGGAAACAAGAAAGGAAAAAAAGGAAAGAGUAAAGGGAAGGUGAAAGGGAAGAACCAAGGAAAAUUAGAAAAAAAGGAGGAAGAAAGGAAAGAAGACAAGACGGAGGAAAAGAGAAAUAUCUUUUAUACUACAGUUGUUCUAAAAUAUUUUUGUUUCUAAAAACAUUAUUCAAAGGACACACAAAACCAAGCUUGUAUCACAAUAAUUGAUAUAUAAAAGCAGAGAGGUAUUGGGUCAUAAGCUUAAAACUGUGCUUUGUCUUCCUUUCUUGUCAAAUUGUUACAGAAAUUUGUGAUAUUAUUUAUUUUUAGGGAUGUCCAAUAAUAAAUCUGACGUCUUGUGCCAUUUCUGCCACAGAAAUAAAACAAUUUGAUGUUUCCCCUCACACACUGCUGAAACAUAUCAGUGUUUUCUGAUUCUUAAGUUGUUUGGCAAUAAAAAAUAUUUCCUGACCCUUCUG